UACGUAGGGGGCAAGCGUUAUCCGGAUUUACUGGGUGUAAAGGGAGCGUAGACGGCAGUGCAAGUCCGGAGUGAAAGCCCGGGGCUCAACCCUGGGACUGCUCUGGAAACUGUAAAGCUGGAGUGCGGGAGGGGCAGGCGGAAUUCCUGGUGUAGCGGUGAAAUGCGUAGAUAUCAGGAGGAACACCGGCGGCGAAGGCGGCCUGCUGGACCGUAACUGACGUUGAGGCUCGAAAGCGUGGGGAGCAAAUAGG
rnacentral:rRNA from 1 species